AGAGUUUGAUCCUGGCUCAGAUUGAACGCAGGCGGCAGGCCUAACACAUGCAAGUCGAACGGUAACAGGAUGUGCUUGCACAUCGCUGACGAGUGGCGGACGGGUGAGUAAUGCUUGGGAACUUGCCUUUGCGAGGGGGAUAACAGUUGGAAACGACUGCUAAUACCGCAUAAUGUCUUCGGACCAAACGGGGCUUCGGCUCCGGCGCAAAGAGAGGCCCAAGUGAGAUUAGCUAGUUGGUGAGGUAAAGGCUCACCAAGGCGACGAUCUCUAGCUGUUCUGAGAGGAAGAUCAGCCACACUGGGACUGAGACACGGCCCAGACUCCUACGGGAGGCAGCAGUGGGGAAUAUUGCACAAUGGGGGAAACCCUGAUGCAGCCAUGCCGCGUGUGUGAAGAAGGCCUUCGGGUUGUAAAGCACUUUCAGUUGUGAGGAAAAGUUGGUAGUUAAUACCUGCCAGCCGUGACGUUAACAACAGAAGAAGCACCGGCUAACUCCGUGCCAGCAGCCGCGGUAAUACGGAGGGUGCGAGCGUUAAUCGGAAUUACUGGGCGUAAAGCGCACGCAGGCGGUUUGUUAAGCUAGAUGUGAAAGCCCCGGGCUCAACCUGGGAUGGUCAUUUAGAACUGGCAGACUAGAGUCUUGGAGAGGGGAGUGGAAUUCCAGGUGUAGCGGUGAAAUGCGUAGAUAUCUGGAGGAACAUCAGUGGCGAAAGCGACUCCCUGGCCAAAGACUGACGCUCAUGUGCGAAAGUGUGGGUAGCGAACAGGAUUAGAUACCCUGGUAGUCCACACCGUAAACGCUGUCUACUAGCUGUGUGUGAUUUUAAAUCGUGCGUAGCGAAGCUAACGCGCUAAGUAGA
rnacentral:rRNA from 1 species